UACGGGGGGAGCAAGCGUUGUUCGGAUUUACUGGGCGUAAAGGGCGCGUAGGCGGCCACUGCAAGUCAGUUGUGAAAUCUCCGGGCUUAACCCGGAAAGGUCAACUGAUACUGCAGGGCUAGAGUGCAGAAGGGGCAACUGGAACUCUCGGUGUAGCGGUGAAAUGCGUAGAUAUCGAGAGGAACACCUGCGGCGAAGGCGGGUUGCUGGGCUGACACUGACGCUGAGACACGAAAGCGUGGGUAGCAAACAGG
rnacentral:rRNA from 1 species